rnacentral:rRNA from 1 species
AUUGAACGCUGGCGGCAGGCCUAACACAUGCAAGUCGAGCGGAGCGGCGGACGGGUGAGUAAUGCCUAGGAAUAUGCCUGGUAGUGGGGGAUAACGUGCGGAAAAGGGAGCUAAUACCGCAUACUAUCAGAUAAGCCUAGGGCGGAUUAGCGAGUUGGUGGGGUAAAGGCCGAACAAGGCGACGAUCCGUAACGGGUCUGAGAGGAGGAGCAGUCACACUGGAACUGAGACACGGUCCAGACUCCUACGGGAGGCAGCGGUGGGGAAUAUGGGACAAGGGGCGAAAGCCUGAUCCAGCCAUGCCGCGUGUGUGAAGAAGGUCUUCGGAUUGUAAAGCACUUUAAGUUGGGAGGCGUUACCAACAGAAUAAGCACCGGCUAACUUCGUGCCAGCAGCCGCGGUAAUAC